rnacentral:rRNA from 4 species
UCCGUAGGUGAACCUGCGGAGGGAUCAUUACCGAGUUUACAACUCCCAAACCCCUGUGAACAUACCAAUUGUUGCCUCGGCGGAUCAGCCCGCUCCCGGUAAAACGGGACGGCCCGCCAGAGGACCCCUAAACUCUGUUUCUAUAUGUAACUUCUGAGUAAAACCAUAAAUAAAUCAAAACUUUCAACAACGGAUCUCUUGGUUCUGGCAUCGAUGAAGAACGCAGCAAAAUGCGAUAAGUAAUGUGAAUUGCAGAAUUCAGUGAAUCAUCGAAUCUUUGAACGCACAUUGCGCCCGCCAGUAUUCUGGCGGGCAUGCCUGUUCGAGCGUCAUUUCAACCCUCAAGCCCAGCUUGGUGUUGGGACUCGCGAGUUAAACCGCGUUCCCCAAAUUGAUUGGCGGUCACGUCGAGCUUCCAUAGCGUAGUAGUAAAACCCUCGUUACUGGUAAUCGUCGCGGCCACGCCGUUAAACCCCAACUUCUGAAUGUUGACCUCGGAUCAGGUAGGAAUACCCGCUGAACUUAAGCAUAUCAAUAAGCGGAGGA